CAGAGCUCGUGCACAGACCAUUUGGCUUUGCAAUUAAAAACAGGUUUGGCUUCUCUCAGCAUCAGUAAGACAACGUCAAAGCAACAUCCAUCCUGAACAUUUUCCCUUGUGAAUUCAAAUGAACUGAUAAAGUGAUGGCCAAGACCGGACCCAAAGGCAGUGUGUGGAAGGAGGAGGAGUGAGGAGAAGUUUGAGCACACCAUGAUCACUAGCACACUUUCUGCUGUGAGUUCUGCAAAUCCACCUACAGCACCAUGCUCUGUGCCAUGAGCAGAGAGGCUGCCAGAAGAGGAGACUGUCCAGAGCUCUCUGUCCUACAGACCCCAAGGCGGGAAACAAUGGAUCCUCUGGCAAGUCCAGGUUGGGUGCUGCUGCCCUUGCAGAAGUGUUAUCUCCCUUUAAAGAAUGACAGGAAGAUCUCAUUCUAGAAACAGCACUACCCAGCAUCAGUGUUCUCCACAAGCCACGUCUCAUCAGCUGAUGAUUUUGUCAGUCUCUAGUAAUAAGGAAAGCUUUGAAAGUGAAAAAAUGAGCAGAAAUAGCAACCUUCUCCUGCUGGUUUUGCAACUCUCCAGUAAACUGCUGGAGCAGGUGAUGAAAUAUGCCUUAGAAACAGCAAGAAGAUAUAUGUCAGAAAACUUUUCUGGCAUUCUGUUGUGAUAUUUUUUUUUCUCCAGGGGCUGGUGGAGCUUGGGGGAAAGUGCAAGGCAGGCUGUGGAAAGCGGAUGACGAACUCCCCACAGAUCAUAAUCCAGCUGUCCCGUGGCAGGACAGAGACAAAUUCAGAAUCCCCUUCACCCAACCCCCUCAGUAUUGCCCAAACUGUAUCCCAAAGGAACUCUAAAGUACCAAGAUGGUAACAGGAAUAUGCUAUGAGAGCUUCUGUAGUCAACAGAUCUGGCAGCUAUUGCCUCCUACUUCUUCACCUAGACAUUUUCAAAGCACCUGAAAAUCUUACCAUCACAAAAUAUGCCCACAUUAAUUAAACUUAUUUGAUCAGAAGAACCUUUUUCAAGGAAUGCUGGUAGUCAGCAUUGCUUUCACUGGACGCAUCUUCACUCCAUACAUGCCACAACACUCUCUUCUUUAAUGGCUGCCACCAUGAUUGAAUAGAACAGAGUGGUCUAGGGCAAGGGUCAAAACCACAACCAGCUGACCCCAUCCAGACCCCCUCAUGCCAUUAUAAAUAAAGUUUUAUUGGCACACAGUUGCAUUCAUUGAUGA